rnacentral:pre_miRNA from 1 species
UCUCAUGGAUGAGCAAAGAAAGAGGUUUCUUGAAAUAUAAUCUGUUCCCGGUGAAGAUUCUGUGAG